rnacentral:rRNA from 1 species
GCAAACAGGUCAAGCUGUGCACUCUAGACAGACUGCCGUGGACAACACGGAGGAAGGUGGGGAUGACGUCAAAUCAUCAUGCCCCUUAUGAUCUGGGCUACACACGUGCUACAAUGGCCGGGUACAACGGGCAGCGAAGGAGCGAUCCGGAGCGAAAUCCUAAAAAAGCCGGUCCCAGUUCGGAUUGCAGGCUGAAACUCGCCUACAUGAAGUUGGAGUUGCUAGUAAUCGCGAAUCAGAAUGUCGCGGUGAAUGCGUUCCCGGGUCUU